rnacentral:rRNA from 1 species
UACGAAGGGGGCUAGCGUUGUUCGGAAUUACUGGGCGUAAAGGGCGCGUAGGCGGUACUUCAAGUCAGGCGUGAAAGCCCCGGGCUCAACCUGGGAACCGCGCUUGAGACUGGAGAACUAGAGUUCGGGAGAGGAUGGUGGAAUUCCCAGUGUAGAGGUGAAAUUCGUAGAUAUUGGGAAGAACACCGAUGGCGAAGGCAGCCAUCUGGACCGACACUGACGCUGAGGCGCGAAAGCGUGGGUAGCAAACGGG